rnacentral:rRNA from 1 species
UACGGAGGGUGCGAGCGUUGUCCGGAAUCACUGGGCGUAAAGGGCGCGUAGGCGGCCUGAUAAGUAGGGGGUGAAAUCCUGCGGCUUAACCGCAGGGCUGCCCUCUAAACUGUCAGGCUUGAGCACAGUAGAGGCAGGUGGAAUUCCCGGUGUAGCGGUGGAAUGCGUAGAGAUCGGGAAGAACAUCAGUGGCGAAGGCGGCCUGCUGGGCUGUUGCUGACGCUGAGGCGCGACAGCGUGGGGAGCAAACAGG